UUAAGCGACUAAGCGUACACGGUGGAUGCCCUGGCAGUCAGAGGCGAUGAAGGACGUGCUAAUCUGCGAUAAGCGUCGGUAAGGUGAUAUGAACCGUUAUAACCGGCGAUUUCCGAAUGGGGAAACCCAGUGUGAUUCGUCACACUAUCAUUAACUGAAUCCAUAGGUUAAUGAGGCGAACCGGGGGAACUGAAUCAUCUAAGUACCCCGAGGAAAAGAAAUCAACCGAGAUUCCCCCAGUAGCGGCGAGCGAACGGGGAGCAGCCCAGAGCCUGAAUCAGUGUGUGUGUUAGUGGAAGCGUCUGGAAAGGCGUGCGAUACAGGGUGACAGCCCCGUACACAAAAAUGCACAUACUGUGAGCUCGAUGAGUAGGGCGGGACACGUGGUUUCCUGUCUGAAUAUGGGGGGACCAUCCUCCAAGGCUAAAUACUCCUGACUGACCGAUAGUGAACCAGUACCGUGAGGGAAAGGCGAAAAGAACCCCGGCGAGGGGAGUGAAAAAGAACCUGAAACCGUGUACGUACAAGCAGUGGGAGCACGCUUAGGCGUGUGACUGCGUACCUUUUGUAUAAUGGGUCAGCGACUUAUAUUCUGUAGCAAGGUUAACCGAAUAGGGGAGCCGAAGGGAAACCGAGUCUUAACUGGGCGUUAAGUUGCAGGGUAUAGACCGAAACCCGGUGAUCUAGCCAUGGGCAGGUUGAAGGUUGGGUAACACUAACUGGAGGACCGAACCGACUAAUGUUGAAAAAUUAGCGGAUGACUUGUGGCUGGGGGUGAAAGGCCAAUCAAACCGGGAGAUAGCUGGUUCUCCCCGAAAGCUAUUUAGGUAGCGCCUCGUGAAUUCAUCUCCGGGGGUAGAGCACUGUUUCGGCAAGGGGGUCAUCCCGACUUACCAACCCGAUGCAAACUGCGAAUACCGGAGAAUGUUAUCACGGGAGACACACGGCGGGUGCUAACGUCCGUCGUGAAGAGGGAAACAACCCAGACCGCCAGCUAAGGUCCCAAAGUCAUGGUUAAGUGGGAAACGAUGUGGGAAGGCCCAGACAGCCAGGAUGUUGGCUUAGAAGCAGCCAUCAUUUAAAGAAAGCGUAAUAGCUCACUGGUCGAGUCGGCCUGCGCGGAAGAUGUAACGGGGCUAAACCAUGCACCGAAGCUGCGGCAGCGACGCUUAUGCGUUGUUGGGUAGGGGAGCGUUCUGUAAGCCUGUGAAGGUGUGCUGUGAGGUAUGCUGGAGGUAUCAGAAGUGCGAAUGCUGACAUAAGUAACGAUAAAGCGGGUGAAAAGCCCGCUCGCCGGAAGACCUAAGGGUUCCUGUCCAACGUUAAUCGGGGCAGGGUGAGUCGACCCCUAAGGCGAGGCCGAAAGGCGUAGUCGAUGGGAAACAGGUUAAUAUUCCUGUACUUGGUGUUACUGCGAAGGGGGGACGGAGAAGGCUAUGUUGGCCGGGCGACGGUUGUCCCGGUUUAAGCGUGUAGGCUGGUUUUCCAGGCAAAUCCGGAAAAUCAAGGCCGAGGCGUGAUGACGAGGCACUACGGUGCUGAAGCAACAAAUGCCCUGCUUCCAGGAAAAGCCUCUAAGCAUCAGGUAACAUCAAAUCGUACCCCAAACCGACACAGGUGGUCAGGUAGAGAAUACCAAGGCGCUUGAGAGAACUCGGGUGAAGGAACUAGGCAAAAUGGUGCCGUAACUUCGGGAGAAGGCACGCUGAUACGUAGGUGAAGCGACUUGCUCGUGGAGCUGAAAUCAGUCGAAGAUACCAGCUGGCUGCAACUGUUUAUUAAAAACACAGCACUGUGCAAACACGAAAGUGGACGUAUACGGUGUGACGCCUGCCCGGUGCCGGAAGGUUAAUUGAUGGGGUUAGCGCAAGCGAAGCUCUUGAUCGAAGCCCCGGUAAACGGCGGCCGUAACUAUAACGGUCCUAAGGUAGCGAAAUUCCUUGUCGGGUAAGUUCCGACCUGCACGAAUGGCGUAAUGAUGGCCAGGCUGUCUCCACCCGAGACUCAGUGAAAUUGAACUCGCUGUGAAGAUGCAGUGUACCCGCGGCAAGACGGAAAGACCCCGUGAACCUUUACUAUAGCUUGACACUGAACAUUGAGCCUUGAUGUGUAGGAUAGGUGGGAGGCUUUGAAGUGUGGACGCCAGUCUGCAUGGAGCCGACCUUGAAAUACCACCCUUUAAUGUUUGAUGUUCUAACGUGGACCCGUGAUCCGGGUUGCGGACAGUGUCUGGUGGGUAGUUUGACUGGGGCGGUCUCCUCCUAAAGAGUAACGGAGGAGCACGAAGGUUGGCUAAUCCUGGUCGGACAUCAGGAGGUUAGUGCAAUGGCAUAAGCCAGCUUGACUGCGAGCGUGACGGCGCGAGCAGGUGCGAAAGCAGGUCAUAGUGAUCCGGUGGUUCUGAAUGGAAGGGCCAUCGCUCAACGGAUAAAAGGUACUCCGGGGAUAACAGGCUGAUACCGCCCAAGAGUUCAUAUCGACGGCGGUGUUUGGCACCUCGAUGUCGGCUCAUCACAUCCUGGGGCUGAAGUAGGUCCCAAGGGUAUGGCUGUUCGCCAUUUAAAGUGGUACGCGAGCUGGGUUUAGAACGUCGUGAGACAGUUCGGUCCCUAUCUGCCGUGGGCGCUGGAGAACUGAGGGGGGCUGCUCCUAGUACGAGAGGACCGGAGUGGACGCAUCACUGGUGUUCGGGUUGUCAUGCCAAUGGCACUGCCCGGUAGCUAAAUGCGGAAGAGAUAAGUGCUGAAAGCAUCUAAGCACGAAACUUGCCCCGAGAUGAGUUCUCCCUGACCCUUUAAGGGUCCUGAAGGAACGUUGAAGACGACGACGUUGAUAGGCCGGGUGUGUAAGCGCAGCGAUGCGUUGAGCUAACCGGUACUAAUGAACCGUGAGGCUUAACCUU
rnacentral:rRNA from 1 species